GGAGAAUCAGGAGAAAGAGAAAUAUAUUUGGAUGGCAGGAGAUUUCAAUGACCAGCUAUGUAUUCAACAACUGAGUUGAAUUUCAUAGGUGUCAGUUGAAAUGCCUGCGAGGUUAUUUUUCUUCCCCCAGCCAGACUUUUGAGGCCCUUGAACAACAAGUAGAGAGGGUUGAACCUUUGGCAUGUAUAUUUACAGACCAUUAGAGACAUGAGACAAUCACAAUAAUUCCUGGAGGUAAAUCUCAUCCUCUCAUAGUCCAAAUCAACUUUACCCAGCAGCGUGGAUAUUCUAAACCCUUCUUCACCCAGCACUUUAUUGUUUCCCUAGCAACCUGACAACUGGGGAAGCAGGAUGGGGAGGCCACAGCAAACAAAAUGAAUUACAGCAGAGGUGUAUGGCUGGCGGAAAGGGCACAGUAGAAGGUGGAGGGACUUGAUGUUUCAAGCCAAGGAGAGCUCCUGUGCCCGAGACACUACAAAGCCCAGCACUAUCUCAUGAAGCUCCUGAGUCCUGAGAUGCAGCCAGAUUUUGUCCAUCACACAAUGGCCUGGCCGAGCCCAGGGACAUUGACCAGAAACCCGAGGCAAUGGAGAGGAAAAGAUGUUAAAUGAAGAGAAAUGAGAAAAGAAGAGGAUUGCCAGAGGGUCUGGGCUCCUUCACCCAAUUCAAGGAACAUUUAGGAAGUGCUCACUUGAAACUCGCCACUGUUUAAGGUAACAGCAGAUCAAAGAAGAAGGCGGAAACCCAAUACAUCAGAUGCA
rnacentral:lncRNA from 1 species